GUAGUAUUCGUUUGCCGGAUUUACCCACUGAUGUACGUAUGAGAAUUUGCUACCAUUCAUCUAAAGCAUAUAUUAUCGCGGAUUCACUGCAUUGUUUCUCAAAUUUCCCAAUGGGUGUUUACACUGGCAAGAUUUUCCAACAGUAUUUAAGGAUGCAGUGUUUCUUUGGAAACCAUCUGCAGGCAUCAUGAUCACCAUUAUUUCAAAAUGCCAUUUUUGGCCAUCACUGGAAUCCCUAAUGGACCUGUCUGAAACCUGAUUUUGUUUGUUAAAACAAUGGCUGAACAUGUUCUUGCACAAUAUUGGUUCAUGCUGAGAAGUACAUAAUGUAUAUGUGCGUCACGAGGUAUAGACGCCAAAAUAACAGCAAACGGGAAGAAACCUACUGUUACCGAAGGUUUGGACUUGCUACCUGAAACAAGAAUGAAAGCGUACCAUGGAACUAAAAUAAACUGCUGGACAUCCAAGGAGGGUAUGAACAUACGACCGAUUUAUGGUAUCAUAUAAUAUUAUGAUGAGAAAUAUUUUUCGUCAUCUGAAAACAAAGUUGUUGAGCAAAAUUUUACUGAAACUCUAGUGAAUGUGAUUGAAAUCGCAUUUUUUGUCCAAUUGGAUGUAAUUCUCGUUUGUACAUAUAGAUCUCUGGUCGACUUAAGGAAAUUGGUACCAGUUGUCGCGCAGAUAGCGCUGGCCUUUCUUAUGGGUUCUUACACGGAUUGAGUGCUUUGAAGAAAUGAUCAUGGCAUCCUUCGGUUGUUAAAUACCAAUCAUGAUAAAAUAAAUGUACUUAUUUAAUCUAGAAAUUACAUAGGAUUGUUAAAUCAAAGUUAAUUUUCUAGAACUUGUUCAGUUAUGUCUUGAUUAAUGGAGAAAUACAUAUAGCCUUUCAAAUCAAUCUUUCGUGUAACACUA